GAAAGACAUUGAGGUGCCAGUAGAAAGGGACAGUCCAAUAUUUACUUGCCGUAAGUUGGAGGUUUAAACAAGAAGAGUAUUCCAAAGGUAAUCCGAGUCAGGGUAAGGAGAAUGGAGGUCAGCGGUUUAAACAGUCCAGGUUCGGUACACGUAUUCAGUAGAUUAGCGAGAUAGUUUGUAGCCAGUCAGAAGACAGGAAGCUUCAAAUUAAUCAAGAACUUUGAAUCUGGCACAGUUCCUCUAAGUAGCGUGGGGAAGCCGCAUCAGAGAAGGGGGUGUGUCAUUGGUCUGUGAACCCGGAAGUGUCAAAAAUCGUCAAGGCCACCAGCACGUCACUUAGCACCGCAGUUCGCAGAGGGGAAGGUACACCAUAUGACGACAGACCCGUACCG